UAUUCUUUGCAUUUUAUACAAGACUUUCACUGUUAAAAUUUGCAGAUUUUAUUGCAAAAUGAACCUUUCGUGUAUGAAUGGACAUCUAAACACAAUGGCAGUAUUAGUGCAGAGCAUGGCCUGGGAUUAAUGAGAGCUAGCGAGAUUUUGUAUAGCAAGUCCCUUGAAACUGUGCAACUGAUGGCUUCAAUCAAGAAUUUGCUGGAUCCCAAUCACAUACUCAACCCAUAUAAAGUUCUUCGUCACUCUUUCAUUGCAUAAUUUGCUGGAUCCCAAUCUCAUUGUAUAUAAACUUUGUAUUUGUAUUGUUCUCACUUGUUUAAAGUGAGAGAUAAUGUUAUUUCUUUGAUUAAUACACACCGGAUUUCUCUGUC